rnacentral:rRNA from 1 species
AGUGAACGCUGGCGGUAGGCCUAACACAUGCAAGUCGAACGGCAGCACAGUAAGCGCUUGUUCUUACGGGUGGCGAGUGGCGGACGGGUGAGGAAUACAUCGGCAUCUACUUUUUCGUGGGGGAUUACGUAAGGAAACUUCCGCUACUACCGCAUAUGUUCUACGGGUGGAUGCAGGGGAUCUUCGGAGUUUUCGCGAUUGUUAGAGCCGAUGUCGGAUUAGCUAGUUGGGGGGGUAAGGGCCCACCAAGGCGACGAUGCGUAGCUGGUCUGAGAGGAUGAUCAGCCACACUGGAACUGAGACACGGUCCAGACUCCUACGGGAGGCAGCAGUGGGGAAUAUUGGACAAUGGGCGCAAGCCUGAUCCAGCCAUGCCGCGUGAGUGAAGAAGGCCUUCGGGUUGUAAAGCCCUGUUGUUAGGAAAGAAAAGCAGCAGAUUAAUACCCCGCUAUUCUGACGGUACCCAAAGAAUAAGCACCGGCUAACUUCGUG